rnacentral:rRNA from 1 species
GAUGAACGCUAGCGGCAGGCCUAAUACAUGCAAGACGAACGGUAAGUUGAGUAGCAAUACUUAGCCAAGAGUGUCGUACGGGUGCGUAACACGUAUGCAACCUACCCUAUACAGGAGGAUAGCCUAGGGAAACCUGGAUUAACCCUUCAUAGUAUUAUUGGAUGGCAUCAUUUGAUAAUUAAAACUGAGGUGGUAUAGGAUGGGCAUGCGUCUGAUUAGUUAGUUGGCGGGGUAAUGGCCCACCAAGACGAUGAUCAGUAGGGGUUCUGAGAGGAAGAUCCCCCACACUGGCACUGAGAUACGGGCCAGACUCCUACGGGAGGCAGCAGUAGGGAAUAUUGGUCAAUGGAUGCAAGUCUGAACCAGCCAUGCCGCGUGCAAGGGAAGAAGGCCCUUUCGUGGGGUUGUAAACUGCUUUUGCCAGGGGAUAAAUUCCAUGCGUGGAAAACUGAAGGUACCUGGUGAAUAAGCCACGGCUAACUACGUGCCAGCAGCCGCGGUAAUC